rnacentral:rRNA from 1 species
UACGAAGGGGGCUAGCGUUGUUCGGAAUUACUGGGCGUAAAGCGCACGUAGGCGGCUUUGUAAGUUAGAGGUGAAAGCCUGUGGCUCAACCACAGAAUUGCCUUCGAUACUGUUUGGCUUGAGACCGGAAGAGGUUAGUGGAAUUCCCGGUGUAGCGGUGAAAUGCGCAGAUAUCGGGAGGAACACCAAUGGCGAAGGCGGCUCACUGGACCGGAACUGACGCUGAGGCGCGAAAGCGUGGGGAGCAAACAGG